rnacentral:rRNA from 1 species
UGGGGAAUUUUGGACAAUGGGGGAAACCCUGAUCCAGCCAUCCCGCGUGUGCGAUGAAGGCCUUCGGGUUGUAAAGCACUUUUGGCAGGAAAGAAACGUCAUGGGUUAAUACCCCGUGAAACUGACGGUACUUGCAGAAUAAGCACCGGCUAACUACGUGCCAGCAGCCGCGGUAAUACGUAGGGUGCAAGCGUUAAUCGGAAUUACUGGGCGUAAAGCGUGCGCAGGCGGUUCGGAAAGAAAGAUGUGAAAUCCCAGAGCUCAACUUUGGAACUGCAUUUUUAACUACCGGGCUAGAGUGUGGCAGAGGGGGGUGGAAUUCCGCGUGUAGCAGUGAAAUGCGUAGAUAUGCGAAGGAACACCGAUGGCGAAGGCAGCCUCCUGGGAUAACACUGACGCUCAUGCACGAAAGCGUGGGGAGCAAACAGG